UUGACCUCGGAUCAGGUAGGACUACCCGCUGAACUUAAGCAUAUCAAUAAGCGGAGGAAAAGAAACCAACAGGGAUUGCCCCAGUAACGGCGAGUGAAGCGGCAACAGCUCAGAUUUGGAAUCUGGCCCCCAGGGCCCGAGUUGUAAUCUGGAGAGGAUGCUUCUGGCGCGGCGCCUUCCGAGUUCCCUGGAACGGGACGCCGGAGAGGGUGAGAGCCCCGUACGGUUGGACGCCUAGCCUUCGUGAAGCUCCUUCGACGAGUCGAGUAGUUUGGGAAUGCUGCUCAAAAUGGGAGGUAAAUUUCUUCUAAAGCUAAAUACCGGCCAGAGACCGAUAGCGCACAAGUAGAGUGAUCGAAAGAUGAAAAGCACUUUGAAAAGAGGGUCAAACAGUACGUGAAAUUGUUGAAAGGGAAG
rnacentral:rRNA from 1 species